GGAGAGAUGGCUCAGUGGUUAAGAGCACUGACUGCUCUUCCAGAGGCCCUGAGUUCAAAUCCCAGCAACCACA
rnacentral:tRNA from 1 species